rnacentral:rRNA from 1 species
GCACUGAGACACUGGCCAGACUCCUACGGGAGGCUGCAGUCGAGGAUCUUCGGCAAUGGGCGCAAGCCUGACCGAGCGACGCCGCGUGUGCGAUGAAAGGCCUUCGGGUUGUAAAGCACUGUCGAGGGGGAGUAAGCCGAAAGGUUGAACUAUCCCUGGAGGAAGCACGGGCUAAGUUCGUGCCAGCUNCCGCGGUAAGACGNACCGUGCGAACGUUGUUCGGAAUCACUGGGCUUAAAGGGCGCGUANGCGGGUUUGCAAGUCUGCGGUGAAAGCCCCCAGCUUAACUGGGGAAGUGCCGUGGAUACU